rnacentral:rRNA from 1 species
UACGUAGGAUGCGAGCGUUGUCCGGAAUCAUUGGGCGUAAAGCGCGUGUAGGCGGUCCGGUAAGUCUGGUGUGAAAACUUGAGGCUCAACCUCAAGCUGUCAUCGGAUACGUGUCGGACUUGAGUCCGGAAGAGGAGAGUGGAAUUCCUGGUGUAGCGGUGGAAUGCGCAGAUAGUCGAGGAGGAACACCUAUGGCGAAGGCAGCUCUCUGGUACGUGGACUGACGCUGAGACGCGAAAGCGUGGGGAGCGAACAGG